CCUGGCGACAAAAUAUAUUUCUAACUUUACUUUUCGUACCAUUAACUUACAUGUUUUCUCAAGUCUGACAGAGUUUUUGUAGGCAGCCACCUCCACCAUCUUUGAAGACCCCAUGGUGGUGGCCAUGUGCUGACUGACCAGCAGGAGUGGUGUACAUGAUGAGUGCCAGGAAUGACAUACGGCUGUCCGAAAUAAAGCAGGCCAUUGAGGAGAACCAUAACACUUGUCAUCCAGCAGCCUACCAACAAUUGCCCCUCCUUUUGAAGAGGCACAAGGUAUCUAUGAAAUACCUUUACCUAGUGCCUUUUGAGAGAAACAACGACGGGCCGAGUAUGUUCAGGAUGGAGGUGGAAGGUGUACCAUCAUCAUCCCAAUGAUCGUACCACCCUCCUGGCCAUGGAUGAGGCAUGUGACGACAUCAAUGCAGACCAAUGUCAAGCUUGGAUUCGCCAUUCCUAAAGGUUUUUCCAGCGGUGCAUGAACAAUGAGGACAUCCACUGAUGUGGUGACAAUUUAUGGCCAAAUGCUCGAGGCUUGAUGCAAAUUAAUGCGUGCUAAACUUUACGUUUUAUUUCUAUUCAUUUCAUUUAGUUUCUUACAUUUGAUGUAACAGUACACCUAAGAUGCAAUAUUUUAUCAUAAAUGAUUGUAGAGGAUGCCUUCAUUGAUCACACCAUUGAUUACACAUUGGAUAGAUAUUAUGGAAUUAUAGAUUUUCAUUACAUUUUAUUGGGUAAUGUAAGCGUAUUGCCUAAUGUGAAAACUGUGUAAUCUACUGUAAUUUACAGUACUGUAGCAUAUCACUUUCAGCUCUUCUAGGGGUGAUUUGAAACACGCAUCUUGCAUUGUUUGCUAUUGGAUUAACUAUUGGUUAAAACAACUAAAUUGAAAAUAUAUCAUUAUGUAGUGAUUAUAUUAUAAAAUUAUAUUUUGAAUUAAUGGUUGUGUGGUGAGACUUGACUACAAUUCAAAUGAAUGCACAAUGACAGGUUUUGAAUAAAAGACUAGCUGCAUCACAAGUGUCACCAGUUUGAAGUUUUGAACUAAGAGUUGUUCAAAUGUACCACAUACUUGUGAAAAUAGUACCAAUGAGAUAAAAAAAAAUUGUACUAUCCUUGGGGGGGACCAGAAGUCCUCACAAGGACAGUAAAACAUGGACAAUUUCAGAUAAGUGGGUACAUUUCGCUAGUCCCCACAAGGAAAACUGCUAGGAUUUUGAAUGGGAAUCUAUUGUUUGGUCCCCACAAGGAUAGUAAAGUGUGUGUGUGUGUGUGUGUGCCCAUGAGA